UCCAGUAGCCAUAUUACCCUGCAACUCACAGCUGGCAGUCCACUGAAGCUAAGCAGGUGUGAGCCUGGUCAGUACCUGGAUGUGAGACCUCCUGGGAAAAGCUAAGGCUGCUGCUGGAA
rnacentral:rRNA from 1 species